rnacentral:rRNA from 1 species
AUGGAGGCAGCAGUGAGGAAUUUUGGACAAUGGGCGCAAGCCUGAUCCAGCCAUGCCGCGUGCGGGAAGAAGGCCUUCGGGUUGUAAACCGCUUUUGUCAGGGAAGAAACGCGCUGGGCUAAUACCUCGGCGUAAUGACGGUACCUGAAGAAUAAGCACCGGCUAACUACGUGCCAGCAGCCGCGGUAAUACGUAGGGUGCAAGCGUUAAUCGGAAUUACUGGGCGUAAAGCGUGCGCAGGCGGUCGUGCAAGACAGAUGUGAAAUCCCCGGGCUUAACUUGGGAACUGCCUUUGUGACUGCACGGCUGGAGUGCGGCAGAGGGGGAUGGAAUUCCGCGUGUAGCAGUGAAAUGCGUAGAUAUGCGGAGGAACACCGAUGGCGAAGGCAAUCCCCUGGGCCUGCACUGACGCUCAUGCACGAAAGCGUGGGGAGCAAACAGGAUUAGAUACCCUGGUAGU